rnacentral:rRNA from 1 species
AGGAUGAACGCUAGCGGCAGGCCUAAUACAUGCAAGUCGAGGGGCAGCAGGGAUAGCAAUAUUCGCUGGCGACCGGCGCACGGGUGCGUAACACGUAUACAAUCUGCCUUUAACGAGGGGGAUAGCCCGGAGAAAUCCGGAUUAACUACCCAUAAUAGUAUUUUCUGGCAUCAGAGGUAUUUUAGAAAGCGUCCGGACGGUUAAAGAUGAGUAUGCGUUCUAGUAUUAGCGUUAGGUUGGUAGGUAACGGUAACGGCUACGAACCGAAGG